rnacentral:rRNA from 1 species
AGAAUCAACGCUGGCGGCGUGCCUAACACAUGCAAGUCGAACGCGACUGAGGGCUUCGGUUCUCAGUUGAGUGGCGAACGGGUGAGUAACACGUGGGUGAUCUACCUUCGAGCGGGGGAUAACGUUCCGAAAGGAACGCUAAUACCGCAUGACGUUCUGGGUUUAAAGACCUGGAAACCAAAGCCGGGGACCGCAAGGCCUGGCACUUGAAGAGGAGCCCGCGUCCGAUUAGCUAGUUGGCGGGGUAAUGGCCCACCAAGGCGACGAUCGGUAGCCGGCCUGAGAGGGCGGACGGCCACGACUGGAACUGAGACACGGUCCAGACUCCUACGGGAGGCAGCAGUGGGGAAUUGUUCACAAUGGGCGCAAGCCUGAUGACGCAACGCCGCGUGGGGGAUGAAGGUCUUCGGAUCGUAAACCCCUGUCGAAUGGGACGAAAGACCCGGGAGCUAAUCAUUUCGGGAGUGACGGUACCGUUAAAGGAAGCCACGGCUAACUCUGUGCCAGCAGCCGCGGUAA